rnacentral:rRNA from 1 species
AUGUGUUGUAGACACGGACGGUUGCUCUAUAAAUGUCCCCAGACGCACAGAGACGGUGAGACAAGUUUCAUUAGGAAAAGAGGAAACGAAAGUGAGGGAGAGAUGGCCAAUUGCUUUGGUGAAGUAGUUGACAACUUCAAGCUGAAUGAGAUGCUGAGGUACGUGGGCAAGCCCAAGACGCGUGAAGACCGGGCACGAGAGGCCGUGAGCCUGAUGAACGAGGACAGCAAGAACAUCAAGGCUUCCAAGUACGUGGAAGGCGUCAAGGACUGGUACGGCGAUGGGGUGUCCACGCUGUGCAUCCUGUACAACGCGACCGGCGACACCCUCUACUACGUCGGCGAGCACGACUGGUUUGGCUUCAUCGGGCGCACACCCUACCCCGCCGAGAUCGGCAACGGUCAGUACGCCGCCUUCCUUCACACCCACAACACCGGCGCCGCGUCCGGCUCCGAGGGGGCCGUCGUGUACCGCGGGAAGAACAGAGAUGGCCAGGACCGGGACUACCUGGUUGCCUGGAGCACCCCAUUUGGUCCGUGGUACAGCAACAAGGCUUAUUGCGAGAUUGGUGGCGUCAACUACUUCGACGAUCGUUGGGGUCAUGUAUCCGGUAAAAUGGAGAACGGAGGCUACUCUUGCAACGCCAAGUCCGACGGGUGUGAGAUUCAAGCAACAACUGCCACGGGUGGUAGUCCCAUGUUCCACGCCAUAAUCAAAACACCCUUUGCUCCAUGA